rnacentral:rRNA from 1 species
UACAGAGGGUGCAAGCGUUGUUCGGCAUUAUUGGGCGUAAAGCGCGUGUAGGCGGCUUUGCAAGUCGGGUGUGAAAGCCCUCAGCUUAACUGAGGAAGUGCGCCCGAAACUGCAGAGCUUGAGUACCGGAGAGGAUGGCGGAAUUCCCCAAGUAGAGGUGAAAUUCGUAGAUAUGGGGAGGAACACCGGUGGCGAAGGCGGCCAUCUGGACGGAUACUGACGCUGAGACGCGAAAGCGUGGGUAGCAAACAGG